GUAUCAUUCUGUGUAUCUGAAUGUGUGUCAUUCUGUGUGUCUGUGUAAUAGCAAGUGUGUCCGUGUAUAUCUAUGUUAUGUUAUACAAAUGGUGGGACGGAGGUAGGGGGGGUAAGAAAUAUGUAUGGGGAGGGGGACCCCAGGGCAGUUUUCGCACCGGGGGCCCUGUGAUUUAUAGUUACGCCUCUGGUGGACCUAUGGAAACAAUGUAAAGAGGGCCCUGAUGCAAGCAAAAGUUCCCCCACCCUCCCCUGUAGAGCAUUUGUAGCCAAAAGGUGAUCCUCAAGUAUGGUACAAC